GAAACCAGCACGGGCGUUGAGGCAACUCUACGCCCGUGCAUGUAUCUUAGGGGUUAACACAA
rnacentral:sRNA from 1 species